rnacentral:rRNA from 1 species
GACGAACGCUGGCGGCGUGCCUAAUACAUGCAAGUAGAACGCUGAAGAGAGGAGCUUGCUCUUCUUGGAUGAGUUGCGAACGGGUGAGUAACGCGUAGGUAACCUGCCUUGUAGCGGGGGAUAACUAUUGGAAACGAUAGCUAAUACCGCAUAACAAUGGAUGACACAUGUCAUUUAUUUGAAAGGGGCAAUUGCUCCACUACAAGAUGGACCUGCGUUGUAUUAGCUAGUAGGUGAGGUAAUGGCUCACCUAGGCGACGAUACAUAGCCGACCUGAGAGGGUGAUCGGCCACACUGGGACUGAGACACGGCCCAGACUCCUACGGGAGGCAGCAGUAGGGAAUCUUCGGCAAUGGGGGCAACCCUGACCGAGCAACGCCGCGUGAGUGAAGAAGGUUUUCGGAUCGUAAAGCUCUGUUGUAAGUCAAGAACGGGUGUGAGAGUGGAAAGUUCACACUGUGACGGUAGCUUACCAGAAAGGGACGGCUAACUACGUGCCAGCAGCCGCGGUAAUACGUAGGUCCCGAGCGUUGUCCGGAUUUAUUGGGCGUAAAGCGAGCGCAGGCGGUUUGAUAAGUCUGAAGUUAAAGGCUGUGGCUCAACCAUAGUUCGCUUUGGAAACUGUCAAACUUGAGUGCAGAAGGGGAGAGUGGAAUUCCAUGUGUAGCGGUGAAAUGCGUAGAUAUAUGGAGGAACACCGGUGGCGAAAGCGGCUCUCUGGUCUGUAACUGACGCUGAGGCUCGAAAGCGUGGGGAGCGAACAGGAUUAGAUACCCUGGUAGUCCACGCCGUAAACGAUGAGUGCUAGGUGUUGGAUCCUUUCCGGGAUUCAGUGCCGCAGCUAACGCAUUAAGCACUCCGCCUGGGGAGUACGACCGCAAGGUUGAAACUCAAAGGAAUUGACGGGGGCCCGCACAAGCGGUGGAGCAUGUGGUUUAAUUCGAAGCAACGCGAAGAACCUUACCAGGUCUUGACAUCCCGAUGCUAUUUCUAGAGAUAGAAAGUUACUUCGGUACAUCGGUGACAGGUGGUGCAUGGUUGUCGUCAGCUCGUGUCGUGAGAUGUUGGGUUAAGUCCCGCAACGAGCGCAACCCCUAUUGUUAGUUGCCAUCAUUCAGUUGGGCACUCUAGCGAGACUGCCGGUAAUAAACCGGAGGAAGGUGGGGAUGACGUCAAAUCAUCAUGCCCCUUAUGACCUGGGCUACACACGUGCUACAAUGGUUGGUACAACGAGUUGCGAGUCGGUGACGGCGAGCUAAUCUCUUAAAGCCAAUCUCAGUUCGGAUUGUAGGCUGCAACUCGCCUACAUGAAGUCGGAAUCGCUAGUAGUCGCGGAUCAGCACGCCGCGGUGAAUACGUUCCCGGGCCU